AGAAAGAUGAAUAACUCCUGAUCAAAAAGUGACGCCACUGGUGUGCAGAAACAUUUUAAAUGAAAGAAAUCAUAAGUAUACAUGAUAACUCUGUCAAAAAAUUUAGUCCAAAAGCGGAUAAGACCAUUCUCCAACAAGAAAAAGAAGCGACCUAAGAAAAUCUUCUACGUCACGUUGAUUGAAACUAAAAAGCUAUGAUUUUAUAUUCAAGUGAAUGAUAAGUAGUUACACUGUAACAGUCAUAGCUAGAGUUCGGAUUUUGCAUGUUUUGCAUAUAAUUUUUUUACUGUACCUGAUGUUGUGUCUUUACAAAUUAUGAUAUUUUGGAUGUACUGGGCUACUUUAAAUUCAAUUUUAAAAUGCAUAUAUUUACAUAUUUUGGCGUUUGAGCAUAUUAUGAUCAUAUUUAGAGGAAAUGGCCUUUAAGAUGCAUAUUUUUGACAUUUAGAAGUCAUAGUGAGGUUCAUUUAUUCCCUGACAACCCAAGAACCUCCCAGAAUUUUAGGCCAAUAAAUUUCCAAAAUGAGAUACUACGGGAUGAGCCAUCAGAAUGAAAGCCUUUCAGGUAAACGUGGGUAGCUUAUGGAAGGACAUAGUCCUGUUUUUCCACUUACUUAGUCUCUCGGAUAAGGAUGCUAACGACUUUUGAUGGUUCAUUGUUGCAAGAUGGAUUGUCGGAGUAGAAACAUGCUUUGGUAUUUGUUGCCCACAGUUAAUGUGUGAUCAGGUCGCUGCAGUGCGCCAACAUUGCCCUACUAGUUAUUGUUGGCGUUUCAGAAUAUGAAACAUUCUUGCAUGUGUUUCUGUGCUGUUCGCAUCAACUCUUUGCUACCAUCUUCAAAUUACUAAUAUGCCCAGACCAAAAAGCAAUAAUUUUGGGAAAUGGAUUGGAAGCGAUUGUGCUUUCACAAUGGACAGAAAAAUAAUAUUGUGCCAACUAUGUGAAAAAGAGGUGAGUCUAAUUUUGUUUUUCUCUUUUUCGAUAAUUUUUCCAAGAACUUAAAACAAUUAUUAAGUAUGUUUGUAAAUUGACGUGCAUGUUUCCUAUGUGCAAAUGGGAAGGAAAAAGAAGAAACCUUUAGGAAUUACCUUUGGCGAUCUUGGAAAUUAAAAAAAGUGUUAAAUUUUGUGUGGGGGUCGAAGUUCCAAUUUUUAUAAACUUAUUUGUAGUCUUAAUUCACUUUUUUGAGUGACCAUUUCGCGGGUACACACUGUUCUCUUACAUUUUUGUACAAUUGUACGUACUUAUUGAUAUUCACUUCUCCGACGCUUUAGGUCCGCGUUGAGAAAAAAUUUCAAGUGCAUCUGCAUUAAAAGACAUCUCAGCACCAGAACAAUUUAACCAAGACAUGGUUAAAAACUUCACAGCAACCACUGAUCUCAUCAUUUCGAAGAAUGUGGACGACAAAAGUGAGUUCAGUGAAGAUCCUUGCAGGGCUUUAAUAAAAGUAAACAUCCCCUUGAAUAAGUUGGAGAAUGAAGCAUUAAAGACCUUCUUGAAAAAAUACACGCUCAGAAAGGACUACGUGGUCCCAUUGUAUGAAAAGACAUUGGAGAAUGUUAUGACAGAAAUUGUCGAUUCUCCAGUCUGGCUGUCCGUUGGCGAAACUGGUCGGUAUAUGGUGCACGUCAUAGUUGGAAAACUCUCUGCUGACGAGGCUGCACGAUGACACAUCAUAGUGUAGAAAGAAGUGGAACGAACGACACACGCCACGAUUGCACGCACAGUGCAGGAAGCAAUGUGCGUGCUAUGGAGAAGUGAGGACCAGAAACGUGGGGAGAACAAGGUUUUGGCCAUUGUGACGGAUAGUGCCGCAUAUAUGCUGAAGGCUGUAGAGUGCCUCCGGGUGUUUUACCCUAUUUCACCUCACGUGUCUGGCUCAUGGCAUCCAUCGAGUGGCUGAAGAGGUCAGAGCCGCAUUGCCAGAGAUUAACAGCGUUAUAUCUUCGGCAGAGAAGGUUUUCAUAAAGGCACCGAGUGAGAGCUUUCAAGACUGCUCACCGUGACUGUUCUCUGCCACCUGAACCAGCCUUGACGGGGUGGGGAACGUGGAUUUCAGCUGCAAAUUAUCAUGCAGACAACCUCAGAAAA